rnacentral:rRNA from 1 species
UACGAAGGGUGCAAACGUUGCUCGGAAUUAUUGGGCGUAAAGCGCACGUAGGCGGCUUAGCAAGUCGGAUGUGAAAGCCCUCGGCUCAACCGAGGAAGUGCGCCCGAAACUGCAGAGCUUGAGUACCGGAGAGGAUGGCGGAAUUCCCCAAGUAGAGGUGAAAUUCGUAGAUAUGGGGAGGAACACCGGUGGCGAAGGCGGCCAUCUGGACGGAUACUGACGCUGAGACGCGAAAGCGUGGGUAGCAAACAGG